UGAACAACAAAAUUUUGUAUCUUACAUGCAAAGUAUAGACAAAUGUCUAAAAUUCUCUUAUUUGUUUAUGGUAUUAUCCUCUUCUAUUUCUAAUUUCUCAUAACUUACGGUUGUUUGGUCAAUAACAUGUGCUCGUUUAACGAGCAAUGUCCAAAUUUUCUAUGUGGUAUCGGUGGAAUUGGAGUGUGUGUUUCGAAAUGUUGUAUUUGUCAAUAUGAUAUUUAAAUAAAAAAAUCUUAAAUUUUGUUUUUGUAAAAAAAAAUUUAGAAGAUAUGAAUAAUUGCAACUUCACUACCUAAUUAUAGCAAGCUCUCUUUCAAUAAAUGAUAGGAAUAUGGCCAUUGGCCAUGCCAUGUAAUCCCUUGUUCAAACUCCUCUUUUUUUCUUAUAUGUACCCUUUUUUCAUUUAUUUUAUUUCGAUUUGUUUUAUGUUUAUACCGCACGAUCAUCACAUGGUUUCUCUACCGAGAUCACAAGACAAUAGUUACAUGCUAUAUGUCUUUUUUUUAAAUUCUUUUUAUAUUUUUUAAUUUUAUCGUUUAUUUAUGUUGUAUUAUUAGGCUUAGUCAACUAGGUUUUACAAAUGGGACGUCGAGGAAUACCAAUCUUACAAAAAUACUAAAAUUUCUAACUUCUAAAUGCUACACCCGCUUAGUCAAUUUUCAUAACAUGUCCAUUACCCAGAUAAAUUCAAAUAGCUAGCAAUCACUUCAUUAAUCAAAUAUCUACAAAUGGAAUAUUUAGCAGAGUACACUCAACGCAUACAUAAAUACUCAUAAUACAAUUGUUGAUACUUAAUUUUGUCCGCUACCUUUAAAGUUUUCUGAAAAAUAAUAAAUGUAAAAAAGUUAAUAAUAAUAAUGAUAAAAAUAAAAAUAAACAGUUAGGUUGUUGACACCCAAUUUUGUCAGCUCUUCUCUUUUUAUUCGCAGAAAAUAUAAUAAUAAGUAUUAAGGAUAUUUUAGACUUUUUAAUAAAAUAAAAAAGAUAUUAACUCUGAUUUGAUUUAUUGUUUUUUAAAAAAGGUUAAAUAGAAUCAUACCUUAAAUAAUUAUGGUAGGUUUUUGAAAACAUUAAAAAUUACCUUAAUGAUCAUUAAUGAGAAUUAUUGUUUUCUAAAAAAAAUUUAAACCUAAUUUCUAACUAUAAAUAAGAGGACAAGAAAAAUGAAAAGGAGGCAGAAAAGUAGAGAAGAAAGAUCGAAAUCAGGAACUACUAAAAAACCUAUCUAAUACGGUCAUAACUUGAGCUUUGGAUAUCGGAUUGACGCAUAUGAGCAGGCUUUGGAAAGCUAAAAAUCUGAGCUACAACUUUUGUGUUUGAAGAAAAGACCAAUUUCAAACUUUAUUGGGCCUAAAUUGCAGAUUUUGUAAUCUGGACUUUUGUAAUAAUUUUAAUUAGCGGGUCACUUGUUUU